AACGCACCUUGCGCCCUUUGGUAUUCCGAAGGGCAUGCCUGUUUGAGUGUCAUUAAAUUAUCAACCUUGCUCGCUUUUACCGGCUUGAGUUAGGCUUGGAUGUGAGGGCUUUGCUGGCUUCCUUCAGUGGAUGGUCUGCUCCCUUUAAAUGCAUUGGUAAAGACGUAUGCAGGCCUCUGUAAUGGAGGUAUGUGCUGGCCUCUGUAAUGGAGGUAUAUGCUGGCCUCUGUAAUGGAGGUUAGUAUCAGUGUCGGCCUUUCGGUGUGAUAAUGAUCACCGUGGCUAGCUGCUUAUGAAUGUCUAUGCCUUACUUGCUCCUUUUCCAUUGAGUUGGAAAAAAGCACUUGACCAUUUUGACCUCAAAUCAGGUAGGACUACCCGCUGAACUUAA
rnacentral:rRNA from 1 species